rfam:Gorilla gorilla gorilla genomic chromosome, chr12, whole genome shotgun sequence
GCCGGGUGUGGUGGUGCGCACCUGUAAUCCCAGCUACUUGGGAGGCUGAGGUAGGAGAAUUGCUUGAACCCGGGAGGCGGAGAUUGCACUGAGCCGAGAUCAUGCCACUGCACUCAGCUUGGGUAACAGAGCAAGACCCUGUCUCAA